rnacentral:miRNA from 1 species
UCUCCCUGUAGCCCCAACUGUCCUGGAACUCACUAUGUAGACCAGGCUGGUCUUGAACUCACAGAGAUCCGCCUGCCUCUGCCUCCGUAGUGCUGGGAUUAAAGGCAUGCGCCACCAUGCCCG